GACGAAGGGGGCUAGCGUUGUUCGGAAUUACUGGGCGUAAAGCGAGUGUAGGUGGUUGUCCAAGUUGGAUGUGAAAGCCUUGAGCUCAACUCAAGAAAUGCAUUCAGGACUGGGCGGCUAGAGGACCGGAGAGGAUAGUGGAAUUCCCAGUGUAGUGGUGAAAUGCGCAGAUAUCAGGAGGAACACCGGUGGCGAAGGCGGUUCUCUGGGCAUGACCUGACGCUGAGGAGCGAAAGUGUGGGGAGCGAACAGG
rnacentral:rRNA from 1 species